AUUGAUUUAGUCAUUGGAAACUUCUCAUAGAGUAACCAUGUGGUUCCCUUUACUCAUAGAACUAGAUGUUAGAUCUGUGGGGAAGAACUAUAAGACAGAG
rnacentral:snoRNA from 1 species